CUGAAAAAGGUUUUAAGGUGGGAGCAGACUUGGUGUGUGUGUUAGAGGAACAGCAAGGAGGCCAGGGUGGCUGGGAUAUAAUGGGUGAGGUGGAGAGUGGUGGGCAAUGAGUUUGGACCCAUAGGAGAGAACCAGUUCAUAUUAGCAUCCUGUAGGCCAUGGCAAGGAGGAUGGAUUUUCUUCUGAAUUUUUUUUCAGUGAGGAUAAAUACUGUGGCGUAUAGGCAGAGGGUGACAUGACAGGAACAUCUUAUUUUCUCAACUGGUCUGUAAAUUCA
rnacentral:lncRNA from 1 species